rnacentral:rRNA from 1 species
UACGGAGGAUGCGAGCGUUAUCCGGAUUUAUUGGGUUUAAAGGGUGCGUAGGCGGAAGCUUAAGUCAGCGGUGAAAGUUUGAGGCUCAACCUUAAAAUUGCCGUUGAAACUGGGUUUCUUGAGUAUAAACGAAGUAGGCGGAAUUCGUGGUGUAGCGGUGACAUGCAUAGAUAUCACGAGGAACUCCGAUUGCGAAGGCAGCUUACUAGGCUAUAACUGACGCUGAAGCACGAAAGCGUGGGGAUCAAACAGG